rnacentral:rRNA from 1 species
UACGUAGGCAGCAAGCGUUUGUUCGGAGUUACUGGGGCGUAAAGAGUGUGUAGGCGGUGCUCUAAGUUCGGUGUGAAAUCUCCCGGCUCAACUGGGAGGGUGCGCCGGAAACUGGGGGUGCUGGGAGCGCGGGGAGAGGAAAGCGGAAUUCCUGGUGUAGCGGUGAAAUGCGUAGAUAUCAGGGAGGAACACCGGGCGGUGUAGACGGCUUUUCUGGGACCGUAGCUGACGCUGAGACACGAAAGCGUGGGUAGCAAACAGG